UGGCGAACGGGUGAGUAACGCGUGAGGAACCUGCCUCAAAGAGGGGGACAACAGUUGGAAACGACUGCUAAUACCGCAUAAGCCCACCGGGUCGGCAUCGACCAGAGGGAAAAGGAGCAAUCCGCUUUGAGAUGGCCUCGCGUCCGAUUAGCUAGUUGGUGAGGUAAUGGCCCACCAAGGCGACGAUCGGUAGCCGGACUGAGAGGUUGAACGGCCACAUUGGGACUGAGACACGGCCCAGACUCCUACGGGAGGCAGCAUG
rnacentral:rRNA from 1 species